rnacentral:rRNA from 1 species
UACGAAGGGGGCUAGCGUUGUUCGGAAUUACUGGGCGUAAAGCGCACGUAGGCGGACUUUUAAGUCAGGGGUGAAAUCCCGGGGCUCAACCUCGGAACUGCCUUUGAUACUGGAAGUCUUGAGUAUGGAAGAGGUAAGUGGAAUUGCGAGUGUAGAGGUGAAAUUCGUAGAUAUUCGCAGGAACACCAGUGGCGAAGGCGGCUUACUGGUCCAUUACUGACGCUGAGACGCGAAAGCGUGGGGAGCGAACAGG